rnacentral:rRNA from 1 species
GACGAACCCUUGCCUGCUGCCUAAUACAUGCAAGUCGAACAAGUUCUGAUUAUUGAAAGGUGCUUGCAUCUUGAUUUAAUUUUGAACGAGUGGCGGACGGGCGAGUAACACGUGGGUAACCUGCCCUAAAGUGGGGGAAAGGUAAGGA